rnacentral:rRNA from 1 species
UUAAACUGAAGAGUUUGAUCAUGGCUCAGAUUGAACGCUGGCGGCAGGCUUAACACAUGCAAGUCGAGCGGUAACAGGGGGAGCUUGCUCCCCGCUGACGAGCGGCGGACGGGUGAGUAAUGCAUAGGAAACU